rnacentral:rRNA from 1 species
GAUGAACGCUAGCGGCAGGCCUAACACAUGCAAGUCGAGGGGUAACAGAGGUAGCUUGCUACUUGCUGACGACCGGCGCACGGGUGCGUAACGCGUAUACAAUCUACCUUUUGCUGAGGGAUAGCCUUUGGAAACGAAGAUUAAUACCUCAUAGUAUGUAGGCUUCUCAUGGAGCUUACAUUAAAGGUUACGGCAAAAGAUGAGUAUGCGUCCUAUUAGUUAGUUGGUGUGGUAACGGCACACCAAGACUACGAUAGGUAGGGGCCCUGAGAGGGGGAUCCCCCACACUGGUACUGAGACACGGACCAG